rnacentral:rRNA from 1 species
AGAACGAACGCUGGCGGCAGGCUUAACACAUGCAAGUCGAACGGUUGUAGCAAUACAGCAGUGGCAGACGGGUGAGUAACACGUGGGAACCUUCCUAGGGGUACGGAACAACUCAGGGAAACUUGAGCUAAUACCGUAUACGUCCGUGAGGAGAAAGAUUUAUCGCCCUUAGACGGGCCCGCGUAGGAUUAGGUAGUUGGUGGGGUAAUGGCCUACCAAGCCUACGAUCCUUAGCUGAUCUGAGAGGAUGAUCAGCCACACUGGGACUGAGACACGGCCCAGACUCCUACGGGAGGCAGCAGUGGGGAAUCGUUGGACAAUGGGCGCAAGCCUGACUCCAGCCAUGCCGCGUGAGUGAAGAGGCCUUCGGGUGUAAAGCUCGUUUACCAGGGACGAUAAUGGACGUACCUGGAGAAGUAACGCCCGGACAAACUUCGUGCCAGCAGCCG